rnacentral:tRNA from 1 species
GCCUUCGUGGUGUAAUGGUCAACACGCUGAGCGCGUAUUCCGUAGGUCCGAAUCCUAGCGAAGGCG